rnacentral:lncRNA from 1 species
UAUAAGGGAGAAAUAAGAAAGACGAUGGAUGCUAAAUCGUGUGAAUGCCCUACUUAGAUCUCACUUUCUCUAUGUUGGGGUCUUAUGCUCUGAAGGGGCGAAAGUGAUCCCAUUCGUCCACUCUCCGCCGGGAAUCCGAGUUCUCUUCUAUUGGCUCUGUUUCACAUACUUACACGAAAGCACUCUAGUUUCGUCCUCGGUAGAGCAUUACCUUGUCUUUAUAGAC